rnacentral:rRNA from 1 species
ACGUACACUCCUGCGGGAGGCAGCAGUGGGGAAUAUUGGACAAUGGGCGCAAGCCUGAUCCAGCCAUGCCGCGUGAGUGAUGAAGGCCCUAGGGUUGUAAAGCUCUUUCACCGGAGAAGAUAAUGACGGUAUCCGGAGAAGAAGCCCCGGCUAACUUCGUGCCAGCAGCCGCGGUAAUACGAAGGGGGCUAGCGUUGUUCGGAAUUACUGGGCGUAAAGCGCACGUAGGCGGAUCGAUCAGUCAGGGGUGAAAUCCCAGGGCUCAACCCUGGAACUGCCUUUGAUACUGUCGAUCUGGAGUAUGGAAGAGGUGAGUGGAAUUCCGAGUGUAGAGGUGAAAUUCGUAGAUAUUCGGAGGAACACCAGUGGCGAAGGCGGCUCACUGGUCCAUUACUGACGCUGAGGUGCGAAAGCGUGGGGAGCAAACAGGAUUAGAUACCCCAGUAGUCCCAU